UAGCCGUAAACGAUACUCGCUAGGUGUCGGCCACGGUGCGACCGUUGUCGGUGCCGUAGGGAAGCCGUGAAGCGAGCCACCUGGGAAGUACGGCCGCAAGGCUGAAACUUAAAGGAAUUGGCGGGGGAGCACAACAACGGGUGGAGCUUGCGGUUUAAUUGGAUUCAACGCCGGACAACUCACCAGGAGCGACGGUUACAUGAAGGCCAGGCUGAUGACCUUGCCUGAUUUUCCGAGAGGAGGUGCAUGGCGUAGUCGUGU
rnacentral:rRNA from 1 species